ACUGCCUGCGGGGUUGUUCGUGUUCCUUGCUACUACUGCAGUGCAGGCAGGGGUAGGACGGCACGUCCGCACGCGGAGCCGGAGCACAAGCAGACCACGACACAGGUCGAUCGAUCGAUCGUUCCAAUGGCCCUCCGCGACGGCACCACCAACCUCUCCAUCUCCGGCGCCGCCCUCGCCGCUCUCCUCCACCGCUGCGCCGCCGCCACCGGCGACUGCGACGGCCUCCUCUUCGGCCGCGCCUCCCACCUCCCCGCGCCGCCCGCCGCCCUCUCCGACUACGACGACCUCGCCACCGCCCCGCCCACCCCCGAGCUCACCAUCUCCGUCUCGGGCCACUGCUCCCUCUCCCACCCAUCUUCCCUCUCAGAUCCCCUCGGCCGAUUCCACCCCCCCUCCUCGGACCCCUCCUCCGCGCCAGCGCCCGCCGCCGUCGGCUUCUUCUCCUCCCGCCGCCGCACCGCGCUCCGCCCCUCCAUGCGCGAGCUCGCUCUCGCCCACUCCCUCUCCAAGACCCUACAAGGACGCACCACCGCCCACCCCCUCCUCUUCAUCCUCGUCUCCCCCUCCGCCUCCCCCAACUUCUCCACCCACUCCUACGACUACCGCGCCUUCCUCCUCCUCGCCUCCCGCCUCGUCCCGGCCUCGCUCACCGUCGUCAACGUCGGCCCCGGAUUCAGGGACCAAUACCACGCCUUCUCCCCAGAGUCUCCCAUGCCCUGCCUGCCAUCCUCGCCUGCGGCCGCAGGUCACGCUCACACCAUUGGAGAGCAGAAGGCGGUCGAUGAAAUGGUCGACGGGUUUGGGAUCGGGAGGCUGCAAGGGCUCCUGGGCUCUGCGGCAGGGCAGGCGGCGGAGAUGGAUGACAUGUAUGCGGGGAUGCUCAGGAACCUGGAGAAGCUCGCCAGGGAGGUGGAGAACAGCAAUAUCCGUGUUCUCGAGCAGGAAAAUCGGAACCUGCUGCUGAGGUUCAGAUGUGCAGGAAUGGAAUAGGACCAAAGUGUUUCUUGGUCCUAUUAAGGUAUGUGUCGCAAGUUGAGGGGUUCUUCUUGUAUGUCAUGCAGGCCACCUUGGUCUUUUGGCCUACAAAGCGACUCCCAACUGGCCAUAUGAUACUUGAAAUCCUCCCCGGCACCCUGCCAGAAGAAUUUGCUUCUCACCGAGUUCAUCCCCCCAUGGGAACUUUUCAGUAGAAGGGUUACUGAUGCUAUGCGCCUCUAAGGCAUAUAUGAUGCCAGAGGUUUGUCCUCCAAGUUGGGAGCUGAAUGUGUGCAUUGGACUUGGCAUGCAUCGACUAGGGACUAGGGAUGGUGGAGUGUGUGUGGAGAGCAUGUGUUUGUGUGGAAGAAGGUGCAUGGCGUCUGAGGAUGGAUGAUAGAGCAAGAUGUGUUGGGCAGAAACGGUUUUGUGUAUGGUGGUGGUGGCGUCAUUGAUGGGAGCAGAUUGGUGUAAGUAAGUUUGAUGCAUGAAGCAUCAGCGUUAUAUGGAGUUGAGUAAUGUAAUGCAAUGCAAUCCUUGUUGGAGCUUUCCUAUCGGUCGUUGCUGAAGAA